CUAAAUUCUUUGAUUAUCCUCACACAAAGAAAAAGUAUGACAUCAAACACAGAAUCAGCUGCAAAACAGAUCAUGAUUUACAAACUUUCAUGUUCCGGUGGUUUAAAUUACAUAGGGAAGACAAACAGUUCUGUGUGAAAAAAUUAGGGGAUAUAGAUCCAGUAUUAGGGCUGCAAUAAGGGAUGACCACACAGAUAAACCAG